UUUCCGUAGGUGAACCUGCGGAGGAUCAUUAUAAAUGGCUCCGCGUUAGGAGCACUUAAUAAUCCUACCCUUGUGAAUUUGUUGUUUGAAAUAAUUUUUUUUUAAAAUUAUUGAAUGUCUUUCCCUGUUGAAUUAGAGUGUUUUCGGACACAAAGAUUCGCAGGGAUAGUCAAUAAUUUUAAAAGACCUUUUUUAAAUUAACUUUUUGUAUUCAUUUGUCUAAAAUUAUUUUAUAAUAUAAAAACAACUUUGACAAUGGAUCUCUUGGUUCUCGCAACGAUGAAGAACGCAGCAAAUGCGAUAAGUAGUGUGAAUUGCAGAAUACGUGAAUCAUCGAAUCUUCGAACGCAUAUUGCACUUUUUAGUUACUAAAAAGUAUGUCUGUUUGAGUAUCAGUAAAUAUUCUCAUAAAAACAUUGUUUUUAUGGUUAUGAGUGCUUUACAACGAUACAAGUUGUUUCACUUUAAUUUUUUUAAAAUUUGAAUUUUUCUAAUUUUAAAUAAAUUGGAUAAAAUUUUCCCGUAAAAAGGAAUAACCUAAACAAUUUUAAUUUUAAUAAUUAGAAUUCAAAUAUCAAAAGGAAUUAUUCAAAUAACUUGAUCUCAAAUCAGAUAAGAGUACCCGCUGAACUAAGCAUAUCAAUAAGCGGAGGAAAGAAACUAACAAGGAUCCCUAGUAACGGCGAGUGAAGCGGGAAGAGCUCAAAUUUGAAUCUUCAAGGUUUACCUUGACGAAUUGUAGUUAAAGAAGUGUUUUCUGUUGAAGUUUUGGUAAAAGUUCUUUGGAAUAGGACAUCAUAGAGGGUGAGAAUCCCGUAUUUGACCAUUAUUUCAGCUGUGUGAUACACUUUCAAAGAGUCGGAUUGUUGGGAAUGCAGUCCAAAAUGGGUGUAAUUUCAUCUAAAGCUAAUAUUGGCGAGAGACCGAUAGCGAACAAGUACCGUGAGGAAGAUGAAAAGAACUUUGAAAGAGAGUUAAACAGUACGUGAAAUGUCAAAAGGAAGCGUUGACACCAGUGUUGUUUCUCGAAAAUCAAUUAAAAAAGUUGGAUUUGUGUUGUAUUGACCUUAACAGCUUUCUGCACUCUUUUCCUGCUUUUUUUAAUGCACUUUUCGUUUAACAAGUCACAUCAGUUCUUUUGUUGUAAAAGGGUCAUUGGAAGGUGGCUUUCUUUCGGAGAAAGUGUUAUAGCCUUUGAUCUCUGCAAUCGGAGAGACUGAGGUCUGCAGCGUAGAUCCUUCGGGUUAGAUACAUUGUGCUAAGUUAUAACUUUCAUAGACAACUUGUUGACUAUGUUUAGUCAUGUAGCUUACCCGCUUAUGCUAUUUUACCUACGCUUAGGAUGUG
rnacentral:misc_RNA from 1 species